AUUGAACGCUGGCGGAAUGCUUUACACAUGCAAGUCGAACGGCAGCACGGGGCAACCUGGUGGCGAGUGGCGAACGGGUGAGUAAUAUAUCGGAACGUGCCCAAUCGUGGGGGAUAACGUAGCGAAAGUUACGCUAAUACCGCAUACGAUCUACGGAUGAAAGCGGGGGAUCGCAAGACCUCGCGCGAAUGGAGCGGCCGAUAUCAGAUUAGGUAGUUGGUGGGGUAAAGGCUCACCAAGCCAACGAUCUGUAGCUGGUCUGAGAGGACGACCAGCCACACUGGAACUGAGACACGGCCCAGACUCCUACGGGAGGCAGCAGUGGGGAAUAUUGCACAAUGGGCGAAAGCCUGAUGCAGCGACGCCGCGUGAGCGAAGAAGGCCUUAGGGUCGUAAGACUCUGUUGUAAGGGACGGAAUGUUUAUCUGGCGAACAGUCAGAUAAAGUAGACGGUACCGUUACCUACGCAAGACCCCGGCCGUAACUACGUGCC
rnacentral:rRNA from 1 species